GGCUGAGACACAGCAAGGCCACAAGACUAAAGCACUGCACAUGCACAGGCUUGUGCAGCCCUGUCUCAUAGCAACAAGUGGAACAUGUGCCUUCAGAAGCACUAGAUGGUUGGUCAAGCUGAAACGUAAAUGGAUGCUGAGGCCCCACAGCGAAACUGCAAAGUACAGAUAUGCUGCAGUAAUGGAGGUUUCUAAAGCACACAACACCAUGAGUUUAUUCAGAGAUUGCAACCUCCAUCCAUUGUCCUUCCCUCCCGCUGUUUUUCCCCACACACCAGUCACAGGAGCUCUGAUCCAGCCUCGCCUCCACAGCCGUGCAACAGUAGCGGAGCGCACAGGUCCCACAGCAGUACUUUGCGUCCUGGCCGUCAUACUGCUCUGGACACUGGAAGCCCUUGUGCCAGAUCUUGUAAGAGUCGGACCAGCCAUGGCAAUACUCUCCUGAGCUGGCCACAAUAUGUUUGUGCAUCAAAGAGAAAAAUAAAUACAAAGCAACUAAAAAACGCAUCUUGUAUGACAGGAAAAAUCCUCACACCCAAUUGGUGAAACAGUUGUUGGAGCUUCAAAAAGUUCAAAUCAAAAGCCCAAUGACAUGCUCACAAUUGGGAAGAAAAUGGUCAAUGAAAUAUCAACAACAAUUCAAUGAAUGAAAAAAUUAUGUGAUCCUGUCAAUGGUCAAGUGGUGAAGCAAGGCAGAUCUGUGACCAUAAUGGGAGUAUGUGGCUAUUUCACCUCUGUUUUAUCCUCUGCCCCCCUCCCUGACACCUAUUGUGUGCCUAAUAUGGGAGGGGCUUGAUACAUUACUUUGCUAAUUUCAUGUAGGUCUGCCCCAGGCCAAGACCUGUCUGCACUUUUGGAUAAGGAGACAAUACUAUAUGGGCUAAUAGGCUACUGGACAUUUUUUUUUCAAUGUUCAUUCAAAUUCAACCAGCCUUACUCAAUUAGAUAUUCAAAAUAGCAAUGUGAGGUCUGGGUGUUAUGUGUUACCUUGCAUAUUUCUUUGAAAAGUUGUUGGAAGAAAAUGGAGAGGUCUGCAUUCAGUGCAAACAAAAAUAAAGUGAGGAGUUGAGGGAGGGAGCAUGUGUUUGAUACUACAAUGUAGACUUUCAAUCUUUAAAACUAAUGAUAUAUACCCUCUGAUUCUUGAAGAAUAUAACUAAUAAAUGCCUCAUGACCUUCAACUGUCAUACACCAUCAAAACUUCAAAUAUAACCUCAAAUCAAAGGUUAUUGGUAGCGUACACAGUUUAGCAGAUGUUACAGUGGGUGCAGCUAAAUGCUUGUGUUACUAACUCCUAACAAUGCAGUAAAAAUGUCAAACAAGUACACAAAUAAUAAUAAUCCAAUACUAAAAAAGAAGAAAUCAGGAAUGUUAGGACAAAUCCAGUUAACAACCCAAAUAACACUGUAUCAGUAAUCCAAAUGCAUGCUGUGUAUAUACACCAGAAAGAUAUACUAAGAAUGAUAUGUACAGCAGUAGAUACCGUAUAUUACAGUGAGCUAUGUUAAGAAUCCGGUAUAUAAAUACAGGCGGUGUAUAUAAACAUUGUAACAAAAAUGCAAUGUACAGUAGUAGAUAUAUAUAUGAAUGAGCUAUGUGAAGAAUACAGUAUAUGAAUGAGAAUCCAGUAUAUAAAUAAGAAUCCAGUUUAUAAAUAUGCUGUGAGUAUUAACAGUGUAACAAAAAUGCAAUGUACAGUUGUAGAUAUAUUUGAAUGAGCCAUGUGAGAUUACAGUAUAUGAAUAUGCAGUGUGAAAAACAGUAUAAAAUAAACGGUCCAGUGUUUAAUGUCUAUAUAUACAUGGGUCAGCAGCA